rnacentral:rRNA from 1 species
UACGAAGGGGACUAGCGUUGUUCGGAAUCACUGGGCGUAAAGCGCACGUAGGCGGAUAUGUCAGUCAGGGGUGAAAGCCCGGAGCUCAACUCCGGAACUGCCUUUAAGACUGCAUCGCUAGAAUUGUGGAGAGGUGAGUGGAAUUCCGAGUGUAGAGGUGAAAUUCGUAGAUAUUCGGAAGAACACCAGUGGCGAAGGCGACUCACUGGACACAUAUUGACGCUGAGGUGCGAAAGCGUGGGGAGCAAACAGG